AACGAACGCUGGCGGCAGGCUUAACACAUGCAAGUCAAGCGCCCCGCAAGGGGAGCGGCAGACGGGUGAGUAACGCGUGGGAAUCUACCCAUCUCUACGGAAUAACGCAUGGAAACGUGUGCUGAUACCGUAUACGUCCUUCGGGAGAAAGAUUUAUCGGAGAUGGAUGAGCCCGCGUUGGAUUAGCUAGUUGGUGGGGUAAAGGCCUACCAAGGCGACGAUCCAUAGCUGGUCUGAGAGGAUGAUCAGCCACACUGGGACUGAGACACGGCCCAGACUCCUACGGGAGGCAGCAGUGGGGAAUAUUGGACAAUGGGCGCAAGCCUGAUCCAGCCAUGCCGCGUGAGUGAUGAAGGCCCUAGGGUUGUAAAGCUCUUUCACCGGUGAAGAUAAUGACGGUAACCGGAGAAGAAGCCCCGGCUAACUUCGUGCCAGCCGCCGCCGUAAUAC
rnacentral:rRNA from 1 species